rnacentral:rRNA from 1 species
CAUUACAGAGUUCAUGCCCUUACGGGUAGAUCUCCCACCCUUGAAUAACAUACAUUGUUGCUUUGGCGGACGCUUCGGCAGCCGCCAGAGGACCCUAAACUCUUGUUUACAGUGUCGUCUGAGUACUAUAUAAUAGUUAAAACUUUCAACAACGGAUCUCUUGGUUCUGGCAUCGAUGAAGAACGCAGCGAAAUGCGAUAAGUAAUGUGAAUUGCAGAAUUCAGUGAAUCAUCGAAUCUUUGAACGCACAUUGCGCCCCUUGGUAUUCCGGGGGGCAUGCCUGUUCGAGCGUCAUUAUAACCCCUCAAGCUCAGCUUGGUGUUGGGGCCUGCCAACUGGCAGCCCUUAAAAUCAGUGGCGGCGCCAUCUGGCUCUAAGCGUAGUAAUUCUUCUCGCUAUAGUGCUCCGGUGGAUGCUUGCCAACAACCCCCAAUUUUUCUAUGGUUGACCUCGGAUCAGGUAGGGAUACCC